AAGCGUUGUCCGGAAUUAUUGGGCGUAAAGAGCUCGUAGGCGGUCUGUCGCGUCGGCUGUGAAAACUCGGGGCUCAACUCCGAGCUUGCAGUCGAUACGGGCAGGCUAGAGUUCGGCAGGGGAGACUGGAAUUCCUGGUGUAGCGGUGAAAUGCGCAGAUAUCAGGAGGAACACCGGUGGCGAAGGCGGGUCUCUGGGCCGAUACUGACGCUGAGGAGCGAAAGCGUGGGGAGCGAACAGG
rnacentral:rRNA from 1 species